ensembl:snRNA Rnu6-767 RNA, U6 small nuclear 767
GUGCUCGCUUCGGGAGCACAUAUACUAAAAUUGAAAUGAUACAGAGAUUAGAAUAGCCCCUGUGCAAGGAUGACACAGAAAUUCAUGAAGUGUUUCAUAUUUUU